GAUGAACGCUGGCGGCGUGCCUAAUACAUGCAAGUCGAGCGAACAGACGAGGAGCUUGCUCCUCUGACGUUAGCGGCGGACGGGUGAGUAACACGUGGAUAACCUACCUAUAAGACUGGGAUAACUUCGGGAAACCGGAGCUAAUACCGGAUAAUAUAUUGAACCGCAUGGUUCAAUAGUGAAAGACGGUUUUGCUGUCACUUAUAGAUGGAUCCGCGCCGCAUUAGCUAGUUGGUAAGGUAACGGCUUACCAAGGCAACGAUGCGUAGCCGACCUGAGAGGGUGAUCGGCCACACUGGAACUGAGACACGGUCCAGACUCCUACGGCAGGCAGCAGUAGGGAAUCUUCCGCAAUGGGCGAAAGCUUGACGGAGCAACGCCGCGUGAGUGAUGAAGGUCUUCGGAUCGUAAAACUCUGUUAUUAGGGAAGAACAAAUGUGUACGUACCUAUGCACGUCUUGACGGUACCUAAUCAGAAAGCCACGGCUAACUACGUG
rnacentral:rRNA from 1 species